GCCAUUUUAUAUAUUGUCAUUAUAUUAAAAGAAACACUAAACUCAGAAAUACCAAAAGCAUUACAUUGUCUUUUUAUUAACCUUAGCGGAUGUAUCUUGUAAUGGAGCUGUGUGAGCAUGGAGAAAUCUUAGUACUAAAGGACAUUUUACAGAAAAUCAGACAAAGUGCAUCAUUCAGAGUCCUACUUCAGCAACAGCACACCAAUGGUAUAUUUAAGAUUCUGUACCAGGGAUCUGUUGAGAGCUCUUUUUAUUCUCUGUAGUCACUGAAAAGGAAGAAAUGCUGUUUUUGAAUACGAACAUGAACUAACGGUAUGAACAUAUGUGUAAAUUUGAUAAUUAUACAACCAAUUUUUCUGUCACAUGGUGUUAGGUAAUUUACUGAUUUAAGGACUGGGACAUUAUGAACUUUCUCCUUUCUUUUUUUUUUUUUUAACCAAUCUUUUGUUUACAGGAUUUUGGUUAGGCUUCCAGUAACUCAGAGUAAAAUCAUAUAAUCUUAGAAUCACUGAGGUUGGAAAAGACCUCCAACAUCAUCCAGUCCAACCAUCCACCUACCAUCAAUAUUUCCCCACUGCAGUACGUCCCUCAGUACAA
rnacentral:lncRNA from 1 species